rnacentral:rRNA from 1 species
UACAGAGGGUGCGAGCGUUAAUCGGAAUUACUGGGCGUAAAGCGUGCGUAGACGGUUAUGUAAGUCGGGUGUGAAAGCCCCGGGCUCAACCUGGGAAUUGCAUUCGAGACUGUGUAGCUAGGGUGCGGAAGAGGGAAGCGGAAUUUCCGGUGUAGCGGUGAAAUGCGUAGAUAUCGGAAGGAACACCAGUGGCGAAAGCGGCUUCCUGGUCCAGCACCGACGUUCAGGCACGAAAGCGUGGGGAGCAAACAGG